rnacentral:rRNA from 1 species
AGCGAACGCUGGCGGCAGGCCUAACACAUGCAAGUCGAACGAACUCUUCGGAGUUAGUGGCGGAUGGGUGAGUAACACGUGGGAACGUGCCUUUUGGUUCGGAAUAACUCAGGGAAACUUGUGCUAAUACCGAAUGUGCCCUUCGGGGGAAAGAUUUAUCGCCAUUAGAGCGGCCCGCGUCUGAUUAGCUAGUUGGUGCGGUAACGGCUCACCAAGGCGACGAUCAGUAGCUGGUCUGAGAGGAUGACCAGCCACACUGGGACUGAGACACGGCCCAGACUCCUACGGGAGGCAGCAGUGGGGAAUCUUGCGCAAUGGGCGAAAGCCUGACGCAGCCAUGCCGCGUGAAUGAUGAAGGUCUUAGGAUUGUAAAAUUCUUUCACCGGGGACGAUAAUGACGGUACCCGGAGAAGAAGCCCCGGCUAACUUCGUG